rnacentral:rRNA from 1 species
UACGGGGGGGGCAAGCGUUGUUCGGAAUUACUGGGCGUAAAGGGCUCGUAGGCGGCCAACUAAGUCAUACGUGAAAUCCCUCGGCUUAACCGGGGAACUGCGUCUGAUACUGGAUGGCUUGAGAUUGGGAGAGGGAUGCGGAAUUCCAGGUGUAGCGGUGAAAUGCGUAGAUAUCUGGAGGAACACCGGUGGCGAAGGCGGCAUCCUGGACCAACACUGACGCUGAGGCGCGAAAGCUAGGGGAGCAAACGGG